GACGAACGCUGGCGGCGUGCUUAACACAUGCAAGUCGAACGGAAAGGCCCUGCUUUUGUGGGGUGCUCGAGUGGCGAACUGGUGAGUAACACGUGAGUAACCUGCCCUUGACUUUGGGAUAACUUCAGGAAACUGGGGCUAAUACCGGAUAGGAGCUCCUGCUGCAUGGUGGGGGUUGGAAAGUUUCGGCUGUUGGGGAUGGACUCGCGGCUUAUCAGCUUGUUGGUGGGGUAGUGGCUUACCAAGGCUUUGACGGGUAGCCGGCCUGAGAGGGUGACCGGCCACAUUGGGACUGAGAUACGGCCCAGACUCCUACGGGAGGCAGCAGUGGGGAAUAUUGCACAAUGGGCGGAAGCCUGAUGCAGCAACGCCGCGUGCGGGAUGACGGCCUUCGGGUUGUAAACCGCUUUCGCCUGUGACGAAGCGUGAGUGACGGUAAUGGGUAAAGAAGCACCGGCUAACUACGUG
rnacentral:rRNA from 1 species